rnacentral:rRNA from 1 species
CCUACGGGCGACAGCAGUGAGGAAUAUUGGUCAAUGGGCUUACGCCUGAACCAGCCAAGUCGCGUGAGGGAAGACUGCCCUAUGGGUUGUAAACCUCUUUUGUCAGGGAGCAACGCCGGCUACGUGUAGCCGGACUGAGAGUACCUGAAGAAAAAGCAUCGGCAAACUCCGUGCCAGCAGCCGCGGUAAUACGGGGGAUGCGAGCGUUAUCCGGAUUUAUUGGGUUUAAAGGGUGCGUAGGCGGAAUGCCAAGUCAGCGGGAAAAUCGCGGGGCUCAACCUCGCUCCGCCGUUGAAACUGGCGUUCUUGAGUGGACGAGAAGUAUGCGGAAUGCGUGGUGUAGCGGUGAAAUGCAUAGAUAUCACGCAGAACUCCGAUUGCGAAGGCAGCAUACCGGCGCCCAACUGACGCUGAAGCACGAAAGCGUGGGUAUCGAACAGGAUUAGAUACCCGUGUAGUC